GUGAAUCAUCGAAUUUUUGAACGCAAAUUGCACUCUCCUCGGAGAGUAUGACUGUUUGAGGGUCAGCCUAUAAAAAAUCGACAUCGUUGCUGUUUCGCGGUGGCGUUCGUCGGAAAUUGGGUCAUCUUAAACCUUUUGGUUUUAAGCGACUUAAAAUUUUCUUUUUGAUUCCUUCAAACUUGUUUAAGUUUUUUUCUUUCGUUCUUGACGU
rnacentral:misc_RNA from 1 species